UACGUAGGGCGCAAGCGUUGUCCGGAAUUAUUGGGCGUAAAGAGCUCGUAGGCGGUCUGUUGCGUCUGCCGUGAAAACCCGAGGCUUAACCUCGGGCCUGCGGUGGAUACGGGCAGACUAGAGGUAGGUAGGGGAGAUCGGAAUUCCUGGUGUAGCGGUGAAGUGCGCAGAUAUCAGGAGGAACACCAAUAGCGAAGGCAGCUCGCUGGGACGUUACUGACACUGAGGCGCGAAAGCGUGGGGAGCGAACAGG
rnacentral:rRNA from 1 species